rnacentral:misc_RNA from 1 species
GAAUAAACUUGGUUGGGUUGUUGCUGGCUCUUCGGAGCAUGUGCACGCCUAGCACCAUUUUUUACCACCUGUGCACCCUUUGUAGACCUGGAAUAUCUUUCUCGAGGAAACUCGGUUUGAGGGAUGCUGGUGCGAAAGCCCGGCUUCCUUCGCAUUUCUGGUCUAUGUCUUUAAUAUACUCCAUAAGAAUGUAACAGAAUGUCAUUAACUGGCCUUUGUGCCUUUAAAAUGAAAUACAACUUUCAACAACGGAUCUCUUGGCUCU